UACGUAGGGGGCAAGCGUUGUCCGGAUUUAUUGGGCGUAAAGAGCGUGCAGGCGGUUAGGUAGGUCCGUUGUGAAAACUCGAGGCUCAACCUCGAGACGCCGAUGGAAACCAUCUAACUAGAGUCCGGAAGAGGAGAGUGGAAUUCCUGGUGUAGCGGUGAAAUGCGCAGAUAUCAGGAAGAACACCCGUGGCUAAGGCGGCUCUCUAGUACGGUACUGACGCUGAGACGCGAAAGCGUGGGGAGCAAACAGG
rnacentral:rRNA from 1 species